AUUGAACGCUGGCGGCAGGCCUAACACAUGCAAGUCGAACGGUAGCACAGAGGAGCUUGCUCCUUGGGUGACGAGUGGCGGACGGGUGAGUAAUGUCUGGGAAACUGCCCGAUGGAGGGGGAUAACUACUGGAAACGGUAGCUAAUACCGCAUAACGUCUUCGGACCAAAGUGGGGGACCUUCGGGCCUCACACCAUCGGAUGUGCCCAGAUGGGAUUAGCUAGUAGGUGGGGUAAUGGCUCACCUAGGCGACGAUCCCUAGCUGGUCUGAGAGGAUGACCAGCCACACUGGAACUGAGACACGGUCCAGACUCCUACGGGAGGCAGCAGUGGGGAAUAUUGCACAAUGGGCGCAAGCCUGGUGCAGCCAUGCCGCGUGUAUGAAGAAGGCCUUCGGGUUGUAAAGUACUUUCAGCGGGGAGGAAGGCGUUAAGGUUAAUAACCUUGGCGAUUGACGUUACCCGCAGAAGAAGCACCGGCUAACUCCGUGCCAGCCGCCGCCGUAA
rnacentral:rRNA from 1 species